rnacentral:rRNA from 1 species
CUCUUCCUACGGGGUGCAGCAGUGGGGGAUAUUGCACAAUGGGGGGACCCCUGAUGCAGCGACGCCGCGUGGGUGAAGAAGCGCCUCGGCGCGUAAAGCCCUGUCAGCAGGGAAGAAGAUGACGGUACCUGAAGAAGAAGCCCCGGCUAACUACGUGCCAGCAGCCGCGGUAAUACGUAGGGGGCAAGCGUUAUCCGGAUUUACUGGGGGUAAAGGGGGCGCAGACGGCGAUG